rnacentral:rRNA from 1 species
CGACGUCGCGUGGAGGAAGACGGCCUUCGGGUUGUAAACUCCUUUUAGUGGGGACGAGCAAGGACGGUACCCACUGAAUAAGCCCCGGCUAACUCCGUGC